UACGGAGGGUGCAAACGUUGCUCGGAAUCAUUGGGCGUAAAGCGCACGUAGGCGGUUCGUUAAGUCGGAUGUGAAAGCCCUCGGCUCAACCGAGGAAGUGCAUACGAAACUGGCGAACUUGAAUAUGGAAGAGGGUCGCGGAAUUCCCGGUGUAGAGGUGAAAUUCGUAGAUAUCAGGAGGAACACCGGUGGCGAAGGCGGGUCUCUGGGCCGAUACUGACGCUGAGGAGCGAAAGCCAGGGGAGCAAACGGG
rnacentral:rRNA from 1 species